UCUGUUCUGCCUGUUCUCUUCUGUCGUGCUCCGCGCGUUUGAAUCCACGUGAACCAACGUAAACUGGUGGACCAAAUGUUUUGUCUCUGCCCCCUUCAUGGAACAUUUCCUGUCGGUUCUUCCAACGGAACAAUUUUUGCACUUUACCGGAGGAAAACCUUGAACCAGCUCUGCUUAUGGAAUUCGCCACUAGGCACGGACGUACACUGGAAAUGAGGGAUGCGAGCCCAAGAACGUGUUCUACGUUACAGAAUACAAAUGUAUGAUUCGUGACCGGGAGACUUGUAAUGAUCAUUUCUUAGCACGGAUCAUCACUCGGUUCGCUACGUCUACCUGCAUGAUGCUACUUUGGUUGCCACAGGGAAUAGGUUUUCGUAGAGUACGCCUGCGCUAGUCAAGCGUUCGGACAUCACUACCUCACGCUCACGUGGGAGAGGUACCUCCCAAGGUGGCGGGUUCGAUCCCGGCCGACCACGCCAGCAACUUGAUGGCAGGGUAGAAGUGGCUGAGAAACGCCGUCUUGCGCGAGCAGUGGCGUAGCUAUUUCGGGAGGGGUUCUAUGGGGACAUU